AUGCAAAAGCCAUUUUGGCAGAAGAUAAGCUUUUUUUUUUUCCUGGUGCAGCCUUCAGUAGCACCUUUCCCUCUCCUUUCUGGUAGUGCCAGGGUUCAUGUUCCUGCCCAUGCUAAUCUCAGCCCUGGUGUUGUGGGGCAGACAUUUCCCAUGCACAGCUGUUGCCAGGCACUUUGCUCAAAGGCUAAAGUGGAUUUAAAAUGUGAAAGUUCAUCAGGUCAAAAUACACACGUGGCUCCAUACCAGUGGUCCCCUUUUAGAGAUGUUGGACCAUCCAGGAUGGUAUGGGAAGAGCUGCAAGUUAUUUGCUUUCCCCCCCAGGAUGAUAAUUUUUCACCAUACUUUUCACUGCUGCAUCUUUGCCAGGGUUUUCUCUGCCUUUUAUGUGCUUUCUUUGGGAGCUCUGUGCUUAUUCCUGGUGAUGCUGAGAUGCUCUCUUGUCCAUCCCAAUUUAGACCCCUGCCUCCUCCUUGGCAGAACUUGACAGGAAGGGGAGGAAGGGAAGGAAGGGAAGGAAGGGAAGGAAGGAAGGAAGGAAGGAAGGAAGGAAGGAAGGAAGGAAGGAAGGAAGGGAAGGGAAGGGAAGGGAAGGGAAGGGAAGGCAGGAAGGAUGGAUGUUCCAGAUGCCAUCGCUCCCCAGCUCCUUAUUUCCUCCAAGUUUCCCUUUAGUUAAGAACUUUUUUUUUUUAAUUCUGCCUAAUCUAAACUGCACCAGCGUGUGUCCAUUUGAGGCAGGAUUUUAUAUUCCCCUGCAGUGUCCUUCCACCAUUCUAUGCCCUCGUUAAACCACAUGUAAAUUAGCAUCAUCAAGAAGGAGCUGGCCUCUGCAGUUAUUAGCAGGAUUAUUCUCCUCUCCCAGUUUCCAGUGUAGUUGCUGGGCUGGUGUAACACAAUUCCCACUAAUGCUCAUCUCCUCUGUCAGGGAGAGCAAUGCUGAUGGGGCACUGAGCAUCAGCAGCAGAUACCAGGAGGAAACCAGCAGACCCCAUUGCUCCUCUCCUCUAGGCCAUGGUUGUUUAGCCCAUCACAUUGGGCAUUAACUUCCCCUCCUGAAUCUUUUCUGAGCAGCCCGUGGGCUCCUUCACAGCUGCAGCUCCAGAACAGGAGUGCAUCACAUCCUGCGCUCAUCACUGGGUUUGCUUUGUGUUUUCUCACUGCCUAAAUCAGCAUCCACAGCCUCCAGCACUCAGAGUGGGUACAGCUGGGCAUUUUCUGCCUGCAGUCGAUCUUCCUUGUUCCUCUCUCCUUGUUUAUUUGAUUUCUCACUGUAUUUAAAGGAGAGGUCAGUGUGUGUUUUGCAACCUUCUCCUUCUGUUAUUAAUUUCUUAGAAACGAAGGGGAAGGAACCACAAGCAAUAAAAAGCCUGAGGUUUGAGGACUGGCUGUUUAUUUGUCAAAGCUAGAAAUGCAGUGACUGAAGAGGACAAGAGAAAACCCUCAAUGCACAUGUACCUCAUUUAAGUUUAGACUUGUGUAGGUCAGAUUGGAGGUGGGGGUGUGGAUUUCCUAUUGCUGCAGUUUUAGAUGGAGCUGUUAUCACUGCCAUUGCUGCAAACAGCAUUUUAAUUUUGCCUUUUGCACCUCAUCUUUGCACCCCCCAGCCCGACUUUCCUGCACCAUGCCCAUCUGAUGCUGGGGAAGCACUGGGGCCCAUCUCAGUGGAAUCAUGGCAGCCUGUGCAGUGGGAUUGGAUUGCACGUGGCUGAUGGCAAGUGGGUGGCAAUAAACCAGUCCUAAGGGUGAAAAUGCUGCCAAGAAGGCUGAGAUUGGCCAUCAGCUGCCGGGAAGAGGGGAUGAGGAGCAGCAGGUUGGCUCAGAUGCCAAAGCCAAAGAUGCUCAGAAACCCAAAAGGGACAAAAAUAAGUGUCUGGGUCACUCAAGAGGAUUUGAGGACCACUUUAGAUCUUUUCCUUCGGAAGCAGCAAUUACCAGAUGAAAGGGAAUGUCUUCAAGCAGGCAUUUUGGAGCAUCUGGUUUGUAUUUGGCACGUUCACUGGGGGAAGCAGGGAAGGCUGGAAGGCUGCUGGGUGGGUUGGUGUCUGGGUGAGGCAGAGGGUGUCCUUCAGGGGAUCAGUCUGGUCACUUACGAAAUGCAUUUUGACACCAGGAGCAUUCCCACAUCUCUCCUCUUUUUUGGACUGCAUUGUCAAUAACUUUUCAAAGCAUUAAUGUUGGGCAUGAGCUGGAUUUCUGCUCCUGGGAGGUUAAAGGGUGUCCCCACGUGAAGUGGCGAAUAGGGGGAUGCACAUGUGGUUUUCUUUUUAGGUUUCGCCCUUCCUCGCUACAGAGGAGGCAUUGGCAUGUAAUUACUGCCAGCUUUAAUCCAGCCAAACCAACUGCCUUCCUGGCAAACGCAUAUACAAUAGGAGCCAAAGGUUAUUGCAUGCCCUAAAUAAAACCAUUACAGCCCUGGGGCCUCACCCAAGCCCAGACCACAAAGCAUCCAGGACCGGCUCCAUUCAGUUUUUCUGGAAGAUUUGGUCUGAUGUCAAUGACCCAUAACUUUUUUUUUUCUUUUACUUUUUUUUUUCUUACUUUACCCCUGCAAAGCCAUCUGCACACUUGCAACCACUGUGGCACCUGCCAGGAGCAGCACAUCUGGUCAGCGUUAGCGAGCCUGCCAGGGAUGCACUUGGUUCAGUCUUUUCUUGCUAAAAUCUUAAGUGGCUUUAAUUGAAAGCAGAGGUGGAUGGAGGCACGUCACACAGACACACCACGGUGUGCAUGGCUCAGUCCAGCACGUGGCUGUGACCAGUGUCCUCUCAAACUGCUGCCAGAUACAGGCCAGUGUUCUGCCCACCCAUGGGAUGGACUGAGAUUUCAGGCAACAUUGGGAUCCAUAUGGCCUGGAGUAGCCACCCAGGAGCCGGUGCAUCCCACUGUGCUCUUCUCCCAGUUACUGCUCCAAACUGGGAUUUACUCUGAAACCUGAAGGAUUUUACUCUCUAUCCCUGAGCAAAUACUGCCCAAAGUGAUGCAAAUGCGUGACCUCACCCAGAUCUCAAGAGGUAAAUAUUGCAUCAUGAUGAGCACAGCCCGGAUCCUUUGCCCCAGUCUGACACACUCUGAGUCCAUCCUGGUGCAGGAGCAAGCCAGGCCAGGGAGGAGGUAUAUUCUGGGAAAGGCUUUCUCUUCACCUCCCUUUUUAAUUAUCAGUGUCUCAUGUUUGCAGCGUGAUGGACACUGGUUCUGCCUCCAUGCAAGGCUGCUCUGGCUCCUGGCAUCCCCACAGAGCUGCUGGCAGGAAGAAAUUGCAUUUCACAACCCAUCUUUCCAGGCUCCCACAAGAUUACUGGAGGGAGGGGAAUGUGCCGAAGAAAAUAACCCAACUGCUGUUAAAAGGCACAGCUUUCCCUACUCCUUUCCAGGAUGACCAUUCCUUCACUGAACCAGACCUCCACUGCCCUCCUCCAGCUGGCAGCACCCACUGGAGCCAGCACUGUGUCACCUCCCCAUAUCACCCUGGGGUGUCUUUGCCCUCCUGGCCUCCCCUUCACGUGCAAAUAAUUGAAAUUGCGAUAAGCAGGCUCUUUUAUGAAGAAAUUCUGCUUUUUCCUCUCAGUGCUCCUGGGACAGAGCUCAGUCACUUUAUAUCUGGGCAAUAAAUCUCCAGGGCACACCCGCCACACAAGGCAGUAAUGGGCCUGCCAGAUGCUGUUCUGUCUGGGUGAAGAGCUCCCAGCCAGUGCAGCAUCUGUUAAUCAUUUGCCAGGAGAGCUCAGGCAAGUGAGGGAGUCUCAAGUUGAAUCCCUUUUGGCCAAUCCUUUUGAAUCACAGUGAAGGUUUCUGGGCUACCCAGAGCUGAAACAACCUGUGAGCUGCAGCAGCCUGUGAUCCUGGGCUGAGAGAUGCAUCCCACACGUCUCAAGAGGAAGGUGAGAAAUCUUCUCCUUGCUCCUUCUUCUUCUAAGAGAUGCAAAAUCCUCACCAGGCCAAUGCUAAGGUAGCUCUUUUCCUUGAUCCCACUCAUCUGCUUUUGCGUCAAAAUCCUGUGAGCAUCAGAUGAUGAGAUGUGGUCCUGGGCAGUGAAAAGCACUGGGGGAGCUUGAAGUGGUUUGGUGUUGAGUCAUCUCCUUCUGGGUGGUGGCAUAUGGACAAGGCUGAAAGCAGGGAUGACUUUCUCUGAUGUUUCUCCUCUGUUGAGUCUUCUUUCAGUAUUCCACAAUCCCAGUCCACAUAUUUUGCCUCUAGCAAGUAGAACACCUCCAGGUUCUCUGCAGAAGAUCUUGUUGCAUCCGGGGGCGAUGGUUGGGCUGUUGCACUCCUUCUGAUUUCUCUCCCAGGCUAAUUGCAAGCCUCUUGGACUCUCUCAGGUGGCUUUGGCAAGUGCUCUGCUUUUCUAGUGCCAGUGCCAGAGAGCCCUGGCCACAGCUAUUGAGUCUUUCCCCAACUAUUAGAAAGCAGUUAACG
rnacentral:lncRNA from 12 species